GUAGAAUUUCUUGCGCAGUAUCGUUUCACCGCGUCUUCGGCGCGAUUGCAUCUCCCGGAGAUUAGAAAAUAUGCACCAGUUCGCAGUUCUGCUGAUGGUGCUGUUGAGUGCCAUCUACGUGACUCCUCAAGGAUUCGUUCCGCAAGGAUUUGGAUUAAAUCAGGUGCCAAUUUUGAGUUCCUAUUCAGACCAGCGGCUGGACGGAAGCUUCCAAUAUGGCUACGAAACGGGCAAUGGGAUCCAAGUGCAGACGCAGGGAAUGUUGAAACCAGUGCCAGUGGUCCGACCAGAUGGAGUUGGAAGCAGUUUGGCUUUGGUGCAAAGUGGAAGCUACUCGUAUCCUUCCCCCGAUGGAACGAUAAUCGAAGUUAGGUGGACCGCCGACGAAAACGGAUUUCAUCCACAAGUGACUCAUUUACCUGCAGCACCUGUUCCUAUUAUACCACCGCCUGUGCCACUAGACCGAGGGAUACCUCCAACAUUCAGAUUUAGGCGGCUGGCGAGAAAUAGGAGAUCUUAAAAGUGUUCAUCGUCGUAAAAUGCAAUAAACUGAAGUUCAUCAAAAUCUAAUGUCAUUCGUAUUUGUACCACAAUUCGAGAAACACCAACCAUCAUUUCGCAAACCUACAAAUCAAUUCAAUCGCCUGCAACCUCAUUUAACAUAACGAUCAUUGAGCCAGUUCCGCCGCAAUACUCUUGCUUUGGUUUGCUCCCUCGGUAAGUGGCUGCAGACCUUCGUCUUCCAUAUUUACAUCCAUAAAAUUCGCCCGGCUGGACUCAAAGGCGGUCGGUCGGUUUUCUUCCGUCUGAAUUUAAACAAGUGGCAAUCUGCUCGUAAAUAUUCUGCCUUGCGCAAUCAGACCCCGAGUGCAAUGAUUUGCUCCAUCAAUAAAGUCAAAGCUCACCCGCUUCCGACACACGGACAGAGCAUAGAUGCUGA
rnacentral:lncRNA from 1 species